GUGGGGAAUAUUGGACAAUGGGCGCAAGCCUGAUCCAGCCAUGCCGCGUGAGUGAUGAAGGCCUUAGGGUUGUAAAGCUCUUUCAGUGGGGACGAUAAUGACGGUACCCACAGAAGAAGCCCCGGCUAACUUCGUGCCAGCAGCCGCGGUAAUACGAAGGGGGCUAGCGUUGUUCGGAUUUACUGGGCGUAAAGCGCACGUAGGCGGAUCGUUAAGUCGGGGGUGGAAUCCUGGAGCUCAACUCCAGAACUGCCUUCGAUACUGGCGAUCUUGAGUCCGGAAGAGGUGAGUGGAACUCCUAGUGUAGAGGUGGAAUUCGUAGAUAUUAGGAAGAACACCAGUGGCGAAGGCGGCUCACUGGUCCGGUACUGACGCUGAGGUGCGAAAGCGUGGGGAGCAAACAGGAUUAGAUACCCGUGUAGUCC
rnacentral:rRNA from 1 species